UACGAAGGGGGCGAGCGUUGUUCGGAUUUACUGGGCGUAAAGGGCGCGCAGGCGGCGCAUUUUGUCAGGCGUGAAAGCCCCGGGCUCAACCCGGGAACUGCGUCCGAUACUGGGAGGCUUGAAUCCGGGAGAGGGAUGUGGAAUUCCAGGUGUAGCGGUGAAAUGCGUAGAUAUCGGGAGGAACACCAGAGGCGAAGGCGGGCUACUGGGCCGAUACUGACGCUGAUGCGCGAAAGCCAGGGGAGCGAACGGG
rnacentral:rRNA from 1 species